GCUCACUGCAACGUCUGCCUCCCAGGUUCAAGCGAUUCUGGGGAGGGGAGGAGGAGGGAAGCAAGGAGAGAGGAACGCAGGGAGCAGAGCCUGACCUGGUCACAGGGGUCUGGGAAAGACAGAGGCUUUGUUAGAGCCGGCAGCUGAGGGCCGAGGCCGAGCAGGGGUUAGGCCAGCACAGGACGAAAAGGAAGAAAGUUCCAGGUGGAGUCUGGUGGAGAAAGACCGACCUGGAAGGCACCAGCAUGUGCACGUGGCAACUGAGGUCGAGGACGUGCCUGAGAGAGAGGAGGAAGGUGCCCUGCGGACCGGGUAGGGUGCGGAGGUCGGGAAUGGAGAACGGUCGUUGGGCAGGUCCGGGUACCCGUAGCCAGAACCACCCGGGUGUGCGCAGCUCGGCCAGGCCCCGCCUCCCGGCGUCCCCGCCCCCUGCUGGGCCUCUCUCCGCAGCCGCGAGACCCGCGCUUGGCGCAUAGGCCGGUUCUAAUUUACAAGAACACCGCGGCCUGAGGCCGGAGAGUCCCUUCAACCCGGGAGGCGGCGGCUGCAGGGAGCCGAGACGGCGCCAUUGCCCUCCAGCCUGGGCAAAAAGAGCGAAACUCCGUCUCAAAAAAAAAAAAACAUGGCCGAAACCAGGAAGCUGCGCGAUGGCGCCACGGCCCCUCUUCUCCCGGCCUGUGUCCGGAAGGUUUCCCUCCGAGGCGCCCCGGCUCCCGCAAGCGGAGGAGAGGGCGGGACGUGCCGGGGCCGGAGCUCAGAGGCCCUGGGGCCGCUCUGCUCUCCCGCCAUCGCAAGGGCGGCGCUGACCUGAGGCCUCCCCGCAAAGGUCCCCGAGGCGGCGGCGGCGGCGGGCUGUGAGAACCGCAGAAGAACGCUGGGCGCGCAGCGACCCGUCCACCCCCGCGAGGAGAGACUUCCACAGAGGCAGCGUUUCCACAGCCCAAAGCCACGUUUCUAGGGUGAUGCAGCCCCAGUAAGUUCCUGGCGGGGAAGCUCACGGCUGUCAAAAGAACUCUUCGCUCCAGCCGGCGCACGAAGGGGAGGAGGGCAGGAGGCUGCCGCCCGCACAGGUCAUCUGAUCACGUCGCCCGCCCUAGUCUGCUUUUGUGAAUCUCCACUUUGUUCAACCCCCACCCGCCGUCUCUCCCUCCCUGCGCCUUCCCUCUAACCUUAAAGACCCAGCUACCUCUACGCAAAUGGUAGCUACCUCUGCGCAGGUGGAAGUUGAGUUCGGUUCACGCGGGACCCUCUUCCCUGUGGCAAGCUGCUGAAGGAGACCUGCUGUUACUGCUUUAGCUGCUGUUCUGCUUAAUCUCAGACAGCUGGAAGGUAGUAUUCCGCCCUCGCCCAGCCACCCGAGUAAAUGAGAAUGAUGACUGACUGAGACCCUGAUGGUGGUGGCUUAGGCUUAAUCUCAGACAGCUGGAAGGUAGUAUUCCGCCCUCACCCAGCCACCCGAGUAAAUGAGAAUGAUGACUGACUGAGACCCUGAUGGUGGUGGCUUAGGCAAGAUGAACGUCUGAAAUGGAGGCCCAGGGCUGCCACGAUGGCUCUGUAGUCAUCAGGGAGGGAGCUCCUUUUAUCUUGUUACCUACUCCCCUCUUGUGCCCCUUUCUUCCCUUGAUCUAAGAAGGUUGCUCCGGAUCUCGCCAUCUGGCCUGCGUUCAAUCAGCAGAAGCUUCCUGGAGGAGCAGGAGGAGGCACUGUGCUCGCAUCACAUACCAGUGGCCAGAAGUUGGCUUCAGGGAAGCUCAGGAAAUAGGAUGCGAGAAGCCAUGAGACCUCCCCAAACUCUGCAGUAACAGAGUCAACAAGACAAUGGCUUAAAGAUGGAGAGACCAGUUGAUCGGUCACACAAGCUGUUCCACGAUAAUUCUUGUGUCAGAAGGGGAGGCUGACUACCAGGACCACUGGCCCCACUUCCAGCCCCUCCAUUCUGAGUACACUUCAGAGGGCUCUGGCAGGGUGAGGGGGUCUUGGUGGUGCCACAGAGAGUAAAGGUCUAGCACACCCAUUGUGGAGAUAUUUCAUGGGGACAACCCAGUGACUUCACUUGAAGUAAAGUGGGAUUUUCCAACCUUGAGAUUCUUAUUUUCUUUGCACGUGCCCAGCUUCCUUUCAAGUCUCUGGCCAAUGCAAUGUGAGCAGAAGUGAAGGGGCAACUUUCAGUGGCUUAGACAGUGGCCUAACUAGAAGACCAAGGCUCAAAGGAACACAUUUUGAGCUUCUCCACAGUUUGAGAACCUCUACAUUACCUACACCAAGCCUUCCCCAGCACUCAAUUUAUGGAAGACCAUUUCUCUUCU
rnacentral:lncRNA from 1 species